AGUGAGUUGGCAGAAUAGUGCCAUCGACUUAGGAUCGAUUCAAGGGUAAAUCCCACACACUA
rnacentral:tRNA from 1 species